rnacentral:rRNA from 1 species
UAAAAGGGAAUUCCCCCUAAGUAACGGCGAGUGAAGCGGGAAGAGCUCAAAUUUGAAAUCUGGUGGCCUCAGGUCAUCCGAGUUGUAAUCUAUAGAAGUGUUUUCCGUGCUGGCUCAUGUACAAGUCCCUUGGAACAGGGCGUCAUAGAGGGUGAGAAUCCCGUCCUUGACAUGAACUACCAGUGCUCUGUGAUACAUUUUCAACGAGUCGAGUUGUUUGGGAAUGCAGCUCAAAAUGGGUGGUAAAUUCCAUCUAAAGCUAAAUAUUGGCGAGAGACCGAUAGCGAACAAGUACCGUGAGGGAAAGAUGAAAAGCACUUUGGAAAGAGAGUUAAACAGUAUGUGAAAUUGUUGAAAGGGAAACGAUUGAAGUCAGUCGUGCUCUUUGGAUUCAGCCGGUUCUGCCGGUGUACUUCCUUUGAGUGGGGUCAACAUCAGUUUUGAUCGCUGGAUAAAGGCUGGAGGAACGUAGUACCCUCGGGUAAACUUAUAGCCUCCUGUCACAUACAGUGGUUGGGACUGAGGAACGCAGCACGCCUUUAUGGCCGGGAUUCGUCCACGUACGUGCUUAGGAUGUUGACAUAAUGGCUUUAAACGACCCGUCUUGAAACACGGACCA